rnacentral:lncRNA from 1 species
UCCUUCUCUCACCUAGAAAUUCUCUCUUAGGAGCUGAUCAAAAUCAAACUAAGAAAUUUUUUACACAUUGUCAACAGAGUAAAGAAAAGUGAUGGCCUCACCUGGCCCUACACUGUCUCGUGACAUCAAGCUCUCACCAAAUGUGACCCACCCCUUGGAUCCCUGAUUCAUUCACCUGGCACCCUCCACUUUUAAAGCAUUCUAUCCUACCACUGCCAGACUCCACCUUAAGUCCCAAUCUGGUGUGAUUUCCACAUGACUGAACACCAUUCCAGAGAGCUCAUCUCUAGCUGGCACCCCUGGUUGGCCUCCUCUGUUCUAACAUUCCUAAGCAUGGACCACUCAUACCUGCAUGUUUCACAUUUCCCUGAGGGCUG